CGAAUGGGGAAACCCAGCAUGAGUUAUGUCAUGUUAUCGAUAUGUGAAUACAUAGCAUAUCAGAAGGCACACCCGGAGAACUGAAACAUCUUAGUAACCGGAGGAAGAGAAAGAAAAUUCGAUUCCCUUAGUAGCGGCGAGCGAAACGGGAAGAGCCCAAACCAACAAGCUUGCUUGUUGGGGUUGUAGGACACUCUAUACGGAGUUACAAAGGACGACAUUAGACGAAUCAUCUGGAAAGAUGAAUCAAAGAAGGUAAUAAUCCUGUAGUCGAAAAUGUUGUCUCUCUUGAGUGGAUCCUGAGUACGACGGAGCACGUGAAAUUCCGUCGGAAUCUGGGAGGACCAUCUCCUAAGGCUAAAUACUCUCUAGUGACCGAUAGUGAACCAGUACCGUGAGGGAAAGGUGAAAAGCACCCCGGAAGGGGAGUGAAAUAGAACCUGAAACCGUGUGCUUACAAGUAGUCAGAGCCCGUUAAUGGGUGAUGGCGUGCCUUUUGUAGAAUGAACCGGCGAGUUACGAUUUGAUGCAAGGUUAAGCAGUAAAUGUGGAGCCGUAGCGAAAGCGAGUCUGAAUAGGGCGUUUAGUAUUUGGUCGUAGACCCGAAACCAGGUGAUCUACCCUUGGUCAGGUUGAAGUUCAGGUAACACUGAAUGGAGGACCGAACCGACUUACGUUGAAAAGUGAGCGGAUGAACUGAGGGUAGCGGAGAAAUUCCAAUCGAACCUGGAGAUAGCUGGUUCUCUCCGAAAUAGCUUUAGGGCUAGCCUCAAGUGAUGAUUAUUGGAGGUAGAGCACUGUUUGGACGAGGGGCCCCUCUCGGGUUACCGAAUUCAGACAAACUCCGAAUGCCAAUUAAUUUAACUUGGGAGUCAGAACAUGGGUGAUAAGGUCCGUGUUCGAAAGGGAAACAGCCCAGACCACCAGCUAAGGUCCCAAAAUAUAUGUUAAGUGGAAAAGGAUGUGGCGUUGCCCAGACAACUAGGAUGUUGGCUUAGAAGCAGCCAUCAUUUAAAGAGUGCGUAAUAGCUCACUAGUCGAGUGACACUGCGCCGAAAAUGUACCGGGGCUAAACAUAUUACCGAAGCUGUGGAUUGUCCUUUGGACAAUGGUAGGAGAGCGUUCUAAGGGCGUUGAAGCAUGAUCGUAAGGACAUGUGGAGCGCUUAGAAGUGAGAAUGCCGGUGUGAGUAGCGAAAGACGGGUGAGAAUCCCGUCCACCGAUUGACUAAGGUUUCCAGAGGAAGGCUCGUCCGCUCUGGGUUAGUCGGGUCCUAAGCUGAGGCCGACAGGCGUAGGCGAUGGAUAACAGGUUGAUAUUCCUGUACCACCUAUAAUCGUUUUAAUCGAUGGGGGGACGCAGUAGGAUAGGCGAAGCGUGCGAUUGGAUUGCACGUCUAAGCAGUAAGGCUGAGUAUUAGGCAAAUCCGGUACUCGUUAAGGCUGAGCUGUGAUGGGGAGAAGACAUUGUGUCUUCGAGUCGUUGAUUUCACACUGCCGAGAAAAGCCUCUAGAUAGAAAAUAGGUGCCCGUACCGCAAACCGACACAGGUAGUCAAGAUGAGAAUUCUAAGGUGAGCGAGCGAACUCUCGUUAAGGAACUCGGCAAAAUGACCCCGUAACUUCGGGAGAAGGGGUGCUCUUUAGGGUUAACGCCCAGAAGAGCCGCAGUGAAUAGGCCCAAGCGACUGUUUAUCAAAAACACAGGUCUCUGCUAAACCGUAAGGUGAUGUAUAGGGGCUGACGCCUGCCCGGUGCUGGAAGGUUAAGAGGAGUGGUUAGCUUCUGCGAAGCUACGAAUCGAAGCCCCAGUAAACGGCGGCCGUAACUAUAACGGUCCUAAGGUAGCGAAAUUCCUUGUCGGGUAAGUUCCGACCCGCACGAAAGGCGUAACGAUUUGGGCACUGUCUCAACGAGAGACUCGGUGAAAUCAUAGUACCUGUGAAGAUGCAGGUUACCCGCGACAGGACGGAAAGACCCCGUGGAGCUUUACUGUAGCCUGAUAUUGAAAUUCGGCACAGCUUGUACAGGAUAGGUAGGAGCCUUUGAAACGUGAGCGCUAGCUUACGUGGAGGCGCUGGUGGGAUACUACCCUAGCUGUGUUGGNUUUCUAACCCGCACCACUUAUCGUGGUGGGAGACAGUGUCAGGCGGGCAGUUUGACUGGGGCGGUCGCCUCCUAAAAGGUAACGGAGGCGCUCAAAGGUUCCCUCAGAAUGGUUGGAAAUCAUUCAUAGAGUGUAAAGGCAUAAGGGAGCUUGACUGCGAGACCUACAAGUCGAGCAGGGUCGAAAGACGGACUUAGUGAUCCGGUGGUUCCGCAUGGAAGGGCCAUCGCUCAACGGAUAAAAGCUACCCCGGGGAUAACAGGCUUAUCUCCCCCAAGAGUUCACAUCGACGGGGAGGUUUGGCACCUCGAUGUCGGCUCAUCGCAUCCUGGGGCUGUAGUCGGUCCCAAGGGUUGGGCUGUUCGCCCAUUAAAGCGGUACGCGAGCUGGGUUCAGAACGUCGUGAGACAGUUCGGUCCCUAUCCGUCGUGGGCGUAGGAAAUUUGAGAGGAGCUGUCCUUAGUACGAGAGGACCGGGAUGGACAUACCUCUGGUGUACCAGUUGUCGUGCCAACGGCAUAGCUGGGUAGCUAUGUGUGGACGGGAUAAGUGCUGAAAGCAUCUAAGCAUGAAGCCCCCCUCAAGAUGAGAUUUCCCAACUUCGGUUAUAAGAUCCCUCAAAGAUGAUGAGGUUAAUAGGUUCGAGGUGGAAGCAUGGUGACAUGUGGAGCUGACGAAUACUAAUCGAUCGAAGACUUAAUCAA
rnacentral:rRNA from 1 species